rnacentral:rRNA from 1 species
UCGAGAAUCUUCGGCAAUGAGCGCAAGCUUGACCGAGCGACGCCGCGUGCGGGAUGAAGGCCUUCGGGUUGUAAACCGCUGUCAGUUGGGAGGAAAUCCAUAGGGGUUCUCUCCUAUGGUUGACCGAUCUUCAGAGGAAGUACGGGCUAAGUUCGUGCCAGCAGCCGCGGUAACACGAACCGUACGAACGUUAUUCGGAAUCACUGGGCUUAAAGAGUGCGUAGGCGGCCCGGCAGGUUGGGUGUGAAAUCCCUCGGCUCAACCGAGGAACUGCGCUCAAAACCGCCAGGCUUGAGGGAGAUAGAGGUGAGCGGAACUGAUGGUGGAGCGGUGAAAUGCGUUGAUAUCAUCAGGAACACCAGUGGCGAAAGCGGCUCACUGGAUCUCUUCUGACGCUGAGGCACGAAAGCUAGGGUAGCGAACAGGAUUAGAUACCCCCGUAGUCC